rnacentral:rRNA from 1 species
CACGCACACACGCGCGGCAUAUCAAUAAGCGGAGGAAAAGAAACUAACAAGGAUUCCCCUAGUAACGGCGAGUGAAGCGGGAAGAGCUCAAAUUUGAAAUCUUCAAGGUUUUACCUUGACGAAUUGUAGUUUAAAGAAGUGUUUUCUGUUGGAGUUUUGGUAAAAGUUCUUUGGAAUAGGACAUCAUAGAGGGUGAGAAUCCCGUAUUUGACCAUUUCUUCCAGCUGUGUGAUACACUUUCAAAGAGUCGGAUUGUUUGGGAAUGCAGUCCAAAAUGGGUGGUAAAUUUCAUCUAAAACUAAAUAUUGGCGAGAGACCGAUAGCGAACAAGUACCGUGAGGGAAAGAUGAAAAGAACUUUGAAAAGAGAGUUAAACAGUACGUGAAAUUGUCAAAAGGGAAGCGUUUGACACCAGUGUUGUUUUUCCGAAAAUCAAUUACGAAUGUUUUGUUUUUAAGAGGUUAUGACUUCAUCGGCUUGCUUCUUUCUUUACUGAAACUUUCUUAAUGCACUUUUCGGUUAACAAGUCAACAUCAAUUUCUUUUGUUGUAAAAGGGUAUGAGGAAGGUGGCUUUCUUUUCGGAGAAAGUGUUUAUAGCCUUGUACCUCUGCAAUCGGAGAGAUUGAGGUCUGCAGCGUAGAUCCUUCGGGGUUAGAUACAUUUGUGCUAAGUUAUAGCUUUUCAUAGACAACUUGUUGACUAUGUUAAGUCUUGUAGCUUACUCGCUUACUGCUAUUUUACCUACGCUUAGGAUGUUGAUCUCUCACAGUCGAGC